rnacentral:rRNA from 1 species
GACGAACGCUGGCGGCGUGCCUAAUACAUGCAAGUAGAACGCUGAAGAGAGGAGCUUGCUCUUCUUGGAUGAGUUGCGAACGGGUGAGUAACGCGUAGGUAACCUGCCUUGUAGCGGGGGAUAACUAUUGGAAACGAUAGCUAAUACCGCAUAACAAUGGAUGACCCAUGUCAUUUAUUUGAAAGGGGCAAAUGCUCCACUACAAGAUGGACCUGCGUUGUAUUAGCUAGUAGGUGAGGUAACGGCUCACCUAGGCGACGAUACAUAGCCGACCUGAGAGGGUGAUCGGCCACACUGGGACUGAGACACGGCCCAGACUCCUACGGGAGGCAGCAGUAGGGAAUCUUCGGCAAUGGGGGCAACCCUGACCGAGCAACGCCGCGUGAGUGAAGAAGGGUUUCGGAUCGUAAAGAUCUGUUGUAAGUCAAGAACGAGUGUGAGAGUGGAAAGUUCACACUGUGACGGUAGCUUACCAGAAAGGGACGGCUAACUACGUG